ensembl:snRNA U1 U1 spliceosomal RNA
AUACUUACCUGGCGGGGGAUACCAUGAUCGCCAAGAAGGUUUUCCCAGGGUGAGGCUUAUCCAUUGCACUCCGGAUGUGCUGACCCCUGCAAUUUCCCCAAGUGUGGGAAACUCGACAUUUUUGGUAGUGAGGGACUGCAUUCAUGCUCUCCCCUU